rnacentral:rRNA from 1 species
UACGGAGGAUUCGAGCGUUAUCCGGAUUUAUUGGGUUUAAAGGGUCCGUAGGCGGGCCUGUAAGUCAGUGGUGAAAUCUCACGGCUCAACCGUGAAACUGCCAUUGAUACUGCAGGUCUUGAAUAUAGUUGAGGUAGGCGGAAUACGUUAUGUAGCGGUGAAAUGCAUAGAUAUAACGUAGAACACCGAUUGCGAAGGCAGCUUACUAAGCUAUUAUUGACGCUGAUGGACGAAAGCGUGGGGAGCGAACAGG